GCACCUGUAGCUCAGCUGGAUAGAGCAACGGCCUUCUAAGCCGUGGGUCGGGGGUUCGAAUCCCUCCGGGCGCACCA
rnacentral:tRNA from 1 species